GCUGGGUGUGGUGGCGCACGCCUGUAAUCCUAGCUACUUGGGAGGCUGAGGCAGGAGAAUUGCUUGAACCCAGGAGGUGGAGGUUGCAGUGAGCCUAGAUCAUGCCACUGCACUCCAGCCUGGGCGACAGAGUGAGACUCCACCUCAA
ensembl:misc_RNA Metazoa_SRP Metazoan signal recognition particle RNA